CCUACGGGUGGCUGCAGUGAGGAAUAUUGGUCAAUGGGCGUAAGCCUGAACCAGCCAUCCCGCGUGCAGGAAGAAGGCGCUAUGCGUCGUAAACUGCUUUUCCAGGGGAAGAAAACCCGCUACGUGUAGUGGCUUGCCGGUACCCUGGGAAUAAGCAUCGGCUAACUCCGUGCCAGCAGCCGCGGUAAUACGGAGGAUGCGAGCGUUAUUCGGAUUUAUGGGGGCGAAGGGGGAUUAAUGCGUCUUAGGUGAAAACCGUCAGCUUAACUGGAGACUUGCCAUUGAUACUGUUAGUCUUGAGUACGGUCAAGGUAGGCGGAAUGUGUAAUGUAGCGGUGAAAUGCUUAGAUAUUACACAGAACACCGAUUGCGAAGGCAGCUUACUGGGCCAUUACUGACGCUGAUGCACGAAAGCGUGGGGAGCGAACAGGAUUAGAUACCCGGGUAGUC
rnacentral:rRNA from 1 species